rnacentral:tmRNA from 1 species
GGGGGCGCAUUGGUUUCGACGGGGAUAGUUGAUGCCAAGGCUGCAAGUCGAGGUUGGUCGAUGGCCUCGUAAAAAUCGACCAAAAGAUAAUUGCAAACGACAAUUACGACUACGCAAUGGCUGCUUAAUUGCAGAGUUGCACCUUGACACACUAGAUGUCACGAUUCUCCCGCUGACGCCUUAUAAGCGGACAGGAUCGUCAAUUCAUAGGGCUAGUUUCGACGGUCUGUUCUUUGCCACCGAAGCGAAAACAAAGAAGGACUAGUCCAACGGCCGUCUGGCCCGGAGCAAUCCGUUGGGUGAAUUUUUAUUCCGGACCUAAACUUGUAGACGCUUUGCGCUGAUCGUUCUCGGACGGGAGUUCGACUCUCCCCGCCUCCACCA